ACCUUAGUGGUGUAUUAACAUAGUAAGUUGUAAACUUAAAGAUGCCGUGGCCUGGGUUA
rnacentral:tRNA from 1 species